CUAUGACAUGCUGAUAAAAAAAUAUGACUAUCUAUCUCUUGGUAUGACAUCAUAUAGCCUUGUAUGAUUUCUUAUUUUAUCAAAUAAAUAUUUUAAAGAUAUAAAUCACUUCAUAUGAACUUAUAUUAAUAUAAAUCACUUCUCAUUAUUCAAUAAAACUAUAUGAAUAAUAGCUAUGACUUCUUUUUCUUAACAAUAUGCUGAAAUGAUACUUUUUUCUAUUAGUAUAACAGAAAGUAAUAAUACUGUUAUGGAAAGUAUGACA
rnacentral:lncRNA from 1 species